GAUGGAACGCAGCAAAAUGCGAUAAGUAAUGUGAAUUGCAGAAUUCAGUGAAUCAUCGAAUCUUUGAACGCACAUUGCGCCCGCCAGUAUUCUGGCGGGCAUGCCUGUUCGAGCGUCAUUUCAACCCUCAAGCACAGCUUGGUGUUGGGACUCGCGUUAAUUCGCGUUCCUCAAAUUGAUUGGCGGUCACGUCGAGCUUCCAUAGCGUAGUAGUAAAACCCUCGUUACUGGUAAUCGUCGCGGCCACGCCGUUAAACCCCACCUUCUGAAUGUUGACCUCGGAUCAGGUAGGAAUACCCGCUGAACUUAAGCAUAUCAAUAAGCGGAGGA
rnacentral:misc_RNA from 1 species